ensembl:lncRNA
GGGGCAGUAGUAGGAGGAAUGUUUAGACCGGAAUAAGAAAAGGGGAUUGUGGGUAUUCUUUCUAAUAUAGGACGUUGCAAGCUGAACGUCGUUAAUCGUUGCAGGAGAAACCUACCCGGACGGUCUCAAAGCGGCGGAGCGCAGAUUACAAAAUACACUUUUGAUAAUAUUUACCACUAACGCACGACAUAAAACUUGAUAUAUAUUUUUUUGUAUCAAGACGCUUUUUGUAGCGGGGUUUAGCGUUUAUGAAGGUGUCUGGUAUUACGCUGGAGUUUGUUCCUACGCAGUCGGUCGACGCGGCCCGCACACUUUCUGAACACUUCAGCGGUUCCCGUGAAAUGUGUGUUGAGACCAUGGACUCCAACUCCACACACUGUUCGACCAAACACAAAUUCGUGUCGAAGAUGAAGUGGAAAAUGCUUCGAACGAGGACGACGGAGGACACUUUCAAGAUGUUACACAAGACCGUGAAGACCGGUCACAGAUGCGUCCAUAAGGGAAAGCCGUCGACGCCCAGACCCGGUAAGGGACUCCGGCCAGUGGGGGAGGAAGAAGGGGGACACAGGAGGGCCAUGGCGCCGGAGAACACCACCCAGUACCUCAUGGCCCGCGUCUACGCAGACAUGUCGUCGCCUCUCGGUGACUCAUUCUCACCGCGCUCUGUUUACGACACCGCCGUAGACGUUUACGGGGAGUCGUUGUCGCCGACGAGCGUUUCCACGGCGUUGGACUCCAUUUACGACGACUAUCUCGCUUUCCAACAGCGGGACUUUGAGGAAGUUUUCGGCCUGUGAGCCGUCAUGCUAAUCAGGAACCGGACUAGCCGACGUGGUCUAACCGACGAGGCCUCGCGAGACUUGGAUGUUGCCUGUGGGCUCACUGAUGACACGUCUGUGGCAAAAGAGCUGAACCCGACACCGCCCGCAGUGUCGGGCGCACUCCCGAACAGCGCCAGCUGCCCACCGACGUCUGCCUCAAACCCGCCUCUCUCCUGGUCACCGCUUGCGUAAUGAAGGUAAACGCUACGGUAACGGAGAGCAGAUGGCAGGUCACAGUGCCACGGACUCUGGGUUCGGCUGUGAACUGGAGCAGAAAGCGGAGAGUCUCCCUCAAAGAGAUGGACCAAGGUGACUCUUUGUAACGGGUUGUUAUGUUAUGAAGACUGGUUAACGUCCGUGUGUAAAUAAUGUACAGAAAGAUUUUUGCGUGUUGUGUUUUAGACAUUAAAAUAUUAUUUGGGAAAUAGUGUGAAUGUGUCAUGACUUUCUUAUGUCUCCAUUAAGUGACGAUACAAAGUGAUUUAUAAAAUAAAAUAUCGACUCUUGUUGUAAAAUAACGCUGUUCUUCAAAAAAAAAACGACUUCCGGGAAGGACCCUGGCAAGAUGGCGUCCUCCACCCACUGUAACGGCCUCCUGUCGUCACCAGCUGCUGCCCCAUGAACCACGAAUAGGUAAACCAGGGUUUAGGUCGGGUUUAAAUGCCACGUCUGUUCAUGAACUGUGGAGAAUGUUGCGUAAGAAUAACAAAAUAAAUGCUAUUGCACAACAUGUUUGCCUUGAAUUUGUCCAGGAAGCUUAUCGUCUUUGUGUUUAAACAUUGUGAGACAGUGUCGCCACUAUGGGGUCAGAACAGUCAUUAAUAAUGAAUGCACAG